UUCUUAUAGAUUUUAAUUAUAAGUAAAACCUGCUCAAUGCCUCACGUAAAUAGCCGCAGAAUUUUAUACUGUGCUAAGGUAGCAUAAUCAUUAGUCUUUUAAUUUAAGUCCAGAAUGAAAGGUUUAACAAUUAAAAUUCUUUUUUCAUUUCAAAAUAUUUAAUUUAUAUUAAAAAUUAAAAUAUUUUUAUAUAUUAAAAAGACAAAAAGACCCUAUUGAACUUAACUUUAGUUUAGCUGGGGCAGCUAUUUAAUUAAAACCUUAUUUUUAUAAUAUACUUAAAUGAACCUAUAAAAUAGAUUAUAUGAACAAGUUACCAUAGGGAUAACAGCGUAAUAAUUUUUAAGAGUUCUUAUCUAAAAAAUAGAUUACGACCUCGAUGUUGAAUUAAUUUCCUUUAUUAUGCAAAAAUAAUAUAAGAAGGUCUGUUCGACCUUUAAAUAAUUACA
rnacentral:rRNA from 1 species